UAGCCGUAUCCGGAAACCGAGCGUGUCCCGGGGCUUCUCUCCCGCCGCCGGACCCCGCACGGCCGCCCUGGGACGUUUUUCGAGGCUUGGGACCUAAGACAGGCCCCCGGACCCUGCUGGGAAACCGGGGGGCGUUUUUUGUCCCUCUCUGAGGCCAUUAUCCAAGCUGAAACCACGUUUUAUAAGAAAAAAGUUUUUUUUUAAAAAAAACAAAUUUAACAAACACAAAUAAUAAUAAUAACCCAACAUGUUUCGCGUUCUUUGCCACUGCAUCGAUUUUAUUGAUUUUCAUUCUGCAAACCUGGGAAUGUGCGCGCUCGGGAGGGGAGGCUGUCAAAACCCAGUCACCGCGGGGACUGGGUGGGGGACAAUUCCCCGACGCCGCGGCCUGGACCCGCCCCCACCCAAACGGCGCACCACCUCCCACGCACCACGGAGCCUGCGCAAGCUGUGGGGCCAUAAAGGAACCGGCCCCCAAUCUCCGGGGGCUUCAGUCCCGCCCCUCUCUCUCCCCAGUGCCCUGCAGCGCUCCCGACGUCCGUGUCUGCCCUCCCCAAGCCCCCACUGUCAAUACAAUCGCUGUAAAAAUAUAUAUAUAUAUAUAUUUUUAGAGCCAGGCACGUGCCAUCGGCCUCUCCCCUGCCCGCUUGGCCCAGGAGGCGCCCACACCUGCGCCCUCACUUGCCGAGACUUUACCUGUGCAGUCCCCCGCGGCGCCUGCAGCCGCGCAGGUGCCAUUUAGAAAUUUUGUAUGAAUUAUGUCCUCGCCCACAGCGACUCUCUGAGAUCUGGGGCAUGCCAACUCCUUACUCUGGGGGAGUAUUGGAGGGAGGGGGACUUUUACUUUUCUAAUGGGGGAGUACCAGCCUGCUAACCACAACUAUUUGCAGCUGAAGCCGGUGCAGACCAGGAGGGGGAUCUGCACAGAGGAGAACAGUAUAAGUGGCAUGGGGUCAUCUCGGCCCCUGGCCAGCUCCCAGCCUAAUGGGAAAACCGGACCAUUGAGCAUUCCUUGCUGUUUCCCUGUAGUCCCAGCCCAAGCCAGGCUGCGCUUUCUUUAAAAAGCAAAUCCAACCAUGUUUCUUUUCUGCUUAAAGGCAUCCGGGUUCCCAUUGUUCUUGAGAACAAGAUGUGCUUGCCUCCCCUGGCUGGCGGGUCUACACUGGCCCUGCCCCAGCUUGCCUUUCUGCCUUUGUCUGCCUCCACACCCCCUCACCCGGAACUCCUGCUACCCAAGGCUUCCUUUUAGUUCCUCAAAUGUGCCAUGCUACUCCCCACCUCAAGGGCUUUGCUCCUGCUCUUCUCUGUCUCUCUGGAAUGACCUGUCCUUCUCUUCACCUGGCUUGCACAUACUCUUCCUUCAGGUCUCAGCUCACACAUCACUUUCCUGCAUCCUCCCGCCUCCCGUUACCCUCACUUAUAAUAGAAUUUCCUGUUGAGAGUCUGUCCCCUUCACUGGAUGGUAAACUCCCAGGGGGUAGGGACUAGGGCCGUUCCUUCAAGGAACAAAUGAAGAAAGAGCAUUUGUAUAAACCACCAACUGUGAUGAACGAAUGAAACUGCACUUUUUGGGGCCACCAGUAAGUAUUCUCCAUGGUCUCAUAUUCCAAGAUGAUCUCAACUUAAUGAAGGCGAUGAUACAAAUCUCAUGAAAACAUACGUUAUUUUAAAUGCCUUUAUUGUAAAUGUCAAAUAAGGGGAUGCUGGAGGAGGUUGGAGAAGAGAAAUACGCAUGGAUUACAGCCAUUUAUUCAGGCUUUCAAGAUGCAAGAUGCGUUGGUUGACACAACUUAAUGGAAAACCAUGCCACCCACAACCAUCUC